AAGUCGAGCGGACAGAUGGGAGCUUGCUCCCUGAUGUUAGCGGCGGACGGGUGAGUAACACGUGGGUAACCUGCCUGUAAGACUGGGAUAACUCCGGGAAACCGGGGCUAAUACCGGAUGGUUGUUUGAACCGCAUGGUUCAGACAUAAAAGGUGGCUUCGGCUACCACUUACAGAUGGACCCGCGGCGCAUUAGCUAGUUGGUGAGGUAACGGCUCACCAAGGCGACGAUGCGUAGCCGACCUGAGAGGGUGAUCGGCCACACUGGGACUGAGACACGGCCCAGACUCCUACGGGAGGCAGCAGUAGGGAAUCUUCCGCAAUGGACGAAAGUCUGACGGAGCAACGCCGCGUGAGUGAUGAAGGUUUUCGGAUCGUAAAGCUCUGUUGUUAGGGAAGAACAAGUGCCGUUCAAAUAGGGCGGCACCUUGACGGUACCUAACCAGAAAGCCACGGCUAACUACGUGCCAGCAGCCGCGGUAAUACGUAGGUGGCAAGCGUUGUCCGGAAUUAUUGGGCGUAAAGGGCUCGCAGGCGGUUUCUUAAGUCUGAUGUGAAAGCCCCCGGCUCAACCGGGGAGGGUCAUUGGAAACUGGGGAACUUGAGUGCAGAAGAGGAGAGUGGAAUUCCACGUGUAGCGGUGAAAUGCGUAGAGAUGUGGAGGAACACCAGUGGCGAAGGCGACUCUCUGGUCUGUAACUGACGCUGAGGAGCGAAAGCGUGGGGAGCGAACAGGAUUAGAUACCCUGGUAGUCCACGCCGUAAACGAUGAGUGCUAAGUGUUAGGGGGUUUCCGCCCCUUAGUGCUGCAGCUAACGCAUUAAGCACUCCGCCUGGGGAGUACGGUCGCAAGACUGAAACUCAAAGGAAUUGACGGGGGCCCGCACAAGCGGGGGAGCAUGUGGGUUAAUUCGAAGCACCGCG
rnacentral:rRNA from 2 species